rnacentral:rRNA from 1 species
UACAGAGGUCUCAAGCGUUGUUCGGAUUCAUUGGGCGUAAAGGGUGUGUAGGUGGCGCCGUAAGUCGGGUGUGAAAUUUUUAGAGCUUAACUCUGAAACUGCAUUCGAUACUGCGGUGCUUGAGGACUGGAGAGGAGACUGGAAUUUACGGUGUAGCAGUGAAAUGCGUAGAUAUCGUAAGGAAGACCAGUGGCGGAAGGCGGGUCUCUGGACAGUUCCUGACGCUGAGGCACGAAGGCCAGGGGAGCAAACGGG